UACGUAGGGUGCAAGCGUUGUCCGGAAUUAUUGGGCGUAAAGAGCUCGUAGGCGGUCUGUCGCGUCGGCUGUGAAAACCCGGGGCUCAACCCCGGGCCUGCAGUCGAUACGGGCAGACUAGAGUGCGGUAGGGGAGACUGGAAUUCCUGGUGUAGCGGUGAAAUGCGUAGAGAUCAGGAGGAACACCCAUGGCGAAGGCAGCUCUCUGGUCGACCUCUGACGCUGAGACGCGAAAGCGUGGGGAGCGAACGGG
rnacentral:rRNA from 1 species